rnacentral:lncRNA from 1 species
CUUCAGAUUGCUCACACACCAGUUGGAGACACAAAAGUUACAUGCAAGAGAAGACAGCUGUCUGCAAACCAGAAAGAGAGUCCUCACUGCACUUCAUAUCUGCCAAUGGAUCCUUGCUCUUGAACCUCCCAACCUGCAGAAUCAUGAGAAACAAACAUUGUGUAAGCCACCCACUCUACAGUAAUUUGUUCUAGCAGACCGAGCUGACUGAGCAUUUGCUCUAGGGGAAGCCUGCAGCUAUGUCAUGAGGACCCUCAACAGCCCUGUGCAGAGGACUAUGUGGCAUGAAAGAUACCUUCUGCCAACAACCAGCCCCAACUUGCCAAGCAUGUGAACAAGCUAAACUGAAAGCAGAUCUUCAGCCCCAAUCAAGCCUUCAGAUGACAGUAACCUCAGCCAAUAUACUGACUAUAACCUCAUAAAAGACCCUGAACCAGAACCCUCUAAGCCACUCUCAAACUCUACCCCACAUAAACUGUGAAAUAAUAUAUGUUUAUUGUUAUUUUGGGCCACUAAGUUUAGGGGUAAUUUGUUAUGCAGCAAUUAUAUAACCAAUAUUCCAACUAAAGCUGAAAUGCCUCCUGCAUUUCCUCCCUCAGUGGCCUACACUACAAUCCAAGUUCAGGAAAAAACGAGAACCUUAUUUAAGGUAGUGGCAAGAAAUGAAUGGAUUAACUGGACAUUUAAAAAGUAUUUGAUAGAACUUGGUGAUAGGAGGUGGGGCAGUUAGGGACUAGCAGGAAUUUAGGAUGAGAGGCUCAUUCAGUUGGGCUUAUGUUUUACUGAGGUCAAUUCCAAAAGGAAGGAAAGAAAAAUCCAGCCAAAUAACCUUUAAUGGACUAAGUCUUCUUUCAUAAGUCAGUUUGCACAACUUCUUCACAGGAAUCAGAUUUUAAAUAUCAUAACUGAAGAGAAAAAAAACAGCAAGAGGAGUUUACCUUUAUGGUGGAAUGACACUAAUCUUUCAUGCUUUCAAAUUUCUUGAAAUUUCCUUCGUAUGCAUUAUCUUAUUUGCUGUUCACAGUAAAACUGUGUAUUGGCUAAGCCAGUUUUUAUGAAAAUAUAAGCAGUGAGAAAAAGUAAGAUAGUAUGUCAGUUAGUAGAUUUUUUUAUGGACAUUGUGACAGAGGACACAACUUAAACUGGCUUUUUUUUUUUUUUUUUUUUUUUUGAGACAGAGUUUUGCUCUUGUUGCCCAGGCUGGAGUGCAAUGGCACGAUCUCGGCUCACUGCAACCUCCGCCCCCUGGGUUCAAGUGAUUCUCCUGCCUCAGCCUCCCGAGUAGCUGGAAACACAGGUGCCUGCCACCGCGUCCGGCUAAUUUUUUGUAUUUUUAGUAGAGAUGGAGUUUCACCAUGUUGGCCAGGCUAGUCUCAAACUCCUGACCUCAGGUGAUCCACCUGCCUCAGCCUCCCAAACUGCUGGGAUUACAGGUGUGAGCCACCGCACCUGGCAAAAGGGUUUUGUUUCUAAAGGUACAAGAACAGGUACAGCUUCGGGUCAGUGUGAUUCAGCCCUCAACAAAGCCACCAGGAUCCAUUUCUUGGCUCUGCUUCAUUGCUUCUCAUAGGCUGGCUCAUUCUCAGACUGUACGUGAUAUGGUUCAGUGGCUUUAGGCUCCAAGCAUGACAACACCCAACACUCAGAUUGAUGGAGCUAGAGCAAGUCUCUUCAGGCAGCGUCUAGGAAAGUUCUGAAAUUCACUCUGAUUGGCUGCCCAUCUCUGAAUCAACCACGUAACCCAAGGAAAUAGGAACUGCUGAUGGGUCAGGGUCGGUUCACAUGCUUCAUACCUGGAGCUGAGAAGACAUCAACUCCAUCCUGGAGCUCAUGGGCUGUGACUAGAGCAGACGGAGUUCUCAGAGGAAAGUCAGAGUACAGUUAUCAAAGCAAGCAGUUACAGAUGCUAGAUGACCAAAAUCCAAUAACUGCCCAGUAAAAAUAUUAUACUAAAAUCUAGGAACAUGUGGCUGAUGGACAGUCAUUACCAGGAAAAAAAAGUUGUUAGGUCUAAAUGUAAAAAUUGAGGCAAAGAAAGUGCCCGAGCUAGAAUUAGAACCCUGACUACCUGAAUAUUAGAUCGGUUAGUGCCACUUCUACCCUACCGCUGCUGAGGGGGGAGGUGAACAGUCUCUCAGGUUGCAGACAGUGGAUGGUUUCCCUCCCUCUAUCUUCUCAUUUCAUGGUGGAGCUGAAUCAUCCUAUGUUCUACAUGCUGACAGUGGAAGGUUAUGACCAUACCCAUAUCCUGUUGUCUCUGAGUCUCCUGUGGUGCAGAGAUCCCUGAGACUUGUAGAACAGAACCUGAGUGGAAAGUGGGAGGGGGAUUGGGGGUGGUUCCCACGAAUCAAGCAGCAACCUGGAGACAAGGAACACCUGCAACCUCAGCAGUGGAUCAGAACGGCUGACUGAGCAAUGGACAUACUGUGCAUCUUUCAUUAGUGCUGAGACCAACUUCUAGCUUGGAGUCCCAUGAAAGGGAAACUUAGCCCUAACACCACAACAAGGAGCACAGUGUCAAGUGGGGACAUUGCAGCAGAGUUGCCGCAAAGACUCUGAAGUGCUAUGGGAAGGGAUAUUUCCUAGGAGGGGUUAAAGGGAUUCUCCUUAAGAAGGGGGCUGGGGGAAUCUGAGUAAGAGGUGGGGGAAAGCAGCCAAAGCAUGAUACUUAGUCAUAGCAUCACAAGAAUUUGACUCAGAGUUCCUACAAGGUUGUCCUAAAAUGCCCUGGUUCAGGUGGGUCAGCUUUGAAAGCACCCAAAUUACCCCGUUUUCUGUACUAUGUUUAAAGGCAAUUUGAAAGAAAGACCCCUAAUUUGGAAACAUGUGCUAAGGCUAAAUCACUUUUUCAACUGAAAAUUCUUUUUUAUGUAUUGUUACACUCCAUUUUCUGUCUUGUGUUUUUUGUUGUUGUUGUUAUUUGUUUCUUUUUUCUUUUUCUUUCUUUUUUUUUUUUUUUUGAGACAGAGUCUCGCUCUGUCCCCAGGCUAGAGUGUAGUGGCGCGAUCUAGGCUCACUGCCACCUCUGCCUCCCAGGUUCAAGCAAUUCUCUUGCCUCAGCCUCCUGAGUAGCUGGGAUUAUAGGCGCCCACCACCACACCCAGCGACUUUUUGUAUUUUUAGUAGAGAUGGGGUUUCGUCAUGUUGGCCAGGCUGCUCUUGAACUCCUGACCUCAGGUGAUCUGCCUCCCUCGGCCUCCCAAAGUGCUGGGAUUACAGGCGUGAGCCACCGCACCCCAGCCCAUUUCCUGAAUUUCAGGGGGAGUGAAUUAAUUCUAAUAUAGAGAGUGGGUAAAAGGACCAAUUUUUUCAUUACUAUUUGACUUCAUAUCAUCUUGCUUUGCAAUGCCCUGGUUUUUACAUCUAUAAAUCAGAAAUGAUAAGCAACCUGCUUUAUAGGAAUGCAAUGAAGAUAAGGAGAUACAAUAUAAAAAUAUACAUUGAGUCAGAAAGACAGAUAACACUAUUUAAACCAGUGUAUUCUUAUAAUCCUCAUUAUUACUAAGAAUGAUGUUAACAGUUAUGAUAAAAAGUCAACAUGCAGAAAGAAGAGAAUAAAGUAAUUUCUAGUUUGGGCCAAGAUGUACUCUGUAGACAUGAAUUUUUAAAAGAUGAGUGGUUAACACUUAGCAUUUGAUUCUGUGCUUGUUAUAAGUGAGCAACUGAGAAUUUCUAUCUUUUGGAGAGAGAGAGAGAGAGAGAGAGAGAGUGUGUGUGUGUGUGUGUGUGUGUGUGUGUGUGUGUGUGUUAUACAGGGAACAAGCAUUAUUUUGCAUUUGAGGUCAAAACUGGAGAAAUCAGGGAGACGUCAAGUUUUGUUCAUUAACUUUCAUACCUUUCUAACAACAGCCCCCAGAUUAAACCAAUCUUCUACUGUCAAAUUUGGGGACAUUUUCUUUAGUGGAUGGUCAUAAAUCUUGAGGGGAAUAUUGCUCACUUCUUUUAAGAAUUAAUGGUGAUUCCUAGGUGGGAGUAUGGAGUCAUGUAUCAUACCCUGAAGCAUUAUGUUUUUCCCAGCAGAGAUGCUCAAUAGAAGUCUGGAAGCUUUUGCGGCUGCCAGCAAUUUCAUGGUUACUGUCCGAAGCAGAAAGGGCACAUCAUCAAAUUCUUCCUUCUAAUGCAAUUUUGCCUUCCUGGAAUUUGUACUAUUUUUCUUACAUGGAUAGGGAAUUUUUUUUGAGAGUGCACAGUCAUGUUAAAGUAAAUACCCUGGAGAAAUACUUUCAAUUAAAAUUCAGAAGUUUUAAAAUCCAGGCUAGAAAGGAUUUCCCUGACCUACAAAACCUAAUAAGAUAUUUUUUCUUUCCAUUUUCUCCCUCCUCAUUCCCCUAAGUGUGUGGAGCUGUCCUGCUUUCUUACCUGGUGGCCCCAUUUAGCUUUGCCUUCUAGACAUUUAAGUCAGAAAAUGGCUUUAAAGAAUGUUUUGAGAAAACUUGACAUACUGAUCUACUCUCAACUCAAUGAUUUUCUUUUUUUUGAGUGGAAAAGAGAAAGAAACCACAGAAGCAAAGCAAUAAUAAAAUCUUUUAGUCAAGUAAGAAAAAUUUGACCAGGAGAUACAGAGAUAGUAUUUGUGGUGAUUGAGGCAGUUAAUACCAGAAAAGUUUAGAAAGCAGAGAUUUUGAGGCCCGAAGGGAGGGGAGUCAAACAGGCAGCAAGUCGACGUGGAGCAAGAUAGUCUUAUGUUGGAGAGUGGCCCUCUCCUCUGUGGGGCCUGGGCCUGGCAUUUCAUCUCUCGGUUGGGCUAUGAAUGCCUAGGUUGCAGAAUUUCUUAGUGAGUUUUGCACAUUAUAUAUGCAACACACCUAUGCAAUAUGAGUACAGUGCCUCAAACCUAGGUACUCAGUUAUUUAGAGUUACCAUUGUAAAAUAUUAAAUGCCUGGGUAUGAAAGAAUGAAAAUCUCUUCCUCUCUCAAUGUGUUCUCGGGAUUAUGGCUUUAAAAAAUAGCUGUUCAACUAAAACUAAUUAAAACUUCCAGGUUAGAACCUAGAAGCAGACAUACAACGACUAAAAUGAGUGCAAGAGGAUAAUGGUGUCCAUUAGAGAUUAUUCUUACUCAGAGGCAGGGCUAGGACUAGGGAGAGGCAAGAGAAGCAUCCAGGGUGAACACUUAAGAGGCACCCAGCUUCAGGGCCUGCAGGCACUAAGCCUGAGCUUGCACAACACUGAGAGUGCGACUCCAUGCCCUACCCUAGGCCCUGUCCUGUUCAAAGGACAUCCUACCUGGCUCAUUGGCAGGAUAUCUUGCCCCGUCCCCAAUGGUUUCUUUCACACUCGCAAUACCUGGAGACAAAACAGCCACCAUUGUCAGACUUCUUUGACUUUCCAAACAAACUCCAGAAAGAUCAUUACAGGACCCAGCAUGAGAAGGGAAACCGAGGUGCAUUGAAAGCAAUAAAAUUUAACCGCAGAGAUGAUUUCAUGUUCAAUCAUCAAAAUACACAGAGGGACUUGCUAAAAUGUCCACCGUUGAGGGUAACAACCCAUGACCUUAUUCUUUCUCACACCAGCCUUAGUAUAUAUAAAUGCUAAGAAUAGCAAACAGGAUCUUUUUUAUUGGCUUUUCAAGAACAACAUUGGGGCCUGGAAGACACCAGUCACCUUCAAAAACAAGCAACAAUAGGAAGCUUGAAGCUGUUGGUGCACAGCUUUCAACAUACACACUUUUUAAAAAAUAAUUUCAACUUAAAAAUUUUAGAUUUAGGAGGUACAUGUGUGGGUUUGUUACAUGGGUAUAUUGCAUGAUGCUGAGGUUUGCGGUACGAUUGAUCCCAUCACCCAGGUACUGAGCAUAGUUGCCAAUUGGUGGUUGUUUUUAACCCUUGUUCCACUCCCUUCCUCUCCAUUCGAGUAGUCCCUACUGACUAUUGUUGCCCUCUUUAGUCUAUGAGCAGCCAAUGUUUAGCUCCCCCUUAUAAGUGAGAACAUGUGGUAUUUGGUUUUCUGUUCCUGCAUUAACUUGCUUAGGAUAGUGGCCUCCAGCAGCAUCUAUGUUGUUGUAAAAGACAUGAUUGCAUUCUUUUUAUGGCUGUAUAGUAUUUCACAGUGAACAUAUUUUUCUUAGACAUUGUUUUCAAAACAUUUCAUUGCUUGAUUUGCUCAACCCCAUUCUCCAUCUAAAUCAUUUGUAAACAUAGCCUGAUAAUUACUUUGGAUUAAUUGGUAUUAUUUGAUAAAAUCAUACAAAGCUAGAUUUUUGAGAAUGGUAAUAUGUUAGGAAUGUGUUUGGCUAUGAGUAACAGAAAACCCAACUACAUGACUUUUAGCAUAGGGGUUUAUUUUUCUUAUGUAACAAGAUAUCCAGACUCAGGCAGUUUCUGGUAUAGGUUCAGUUCCUUAGUUCUCUGGGUCAUUCUCUCAUAAUAAUGACAUGGCUGGGUAGCUCCAACUACUGAGGCAGUAUAUAAGGCAGAGAGAAGGAGGGGCAGUGGAAGGAAGGCACACCAUGGUUGUCCCCUUUUACAAAGAAAGCAAAAGCUUCCCCAGCAACCCAUACCAGCCCCCCUCAUUAUGGGUUGAGUGUUGUCCUCUCCAAAGCCAGAUAUGUUUUUCCCAACCUCCAGUACCUCUGAAUCAGCAUAGUUUUUGUUCUUUGUGAAUCUGAACUUACUUGGAGAUAGGUCUUUACAGAGGUAAUCAAAUUAAAAGGGUGACGGUCAUUGGGGUGGACCCUAACCCAAUAUAAAAAAGGGAAAUGUGGACACAGAGACAUGCAUACUAGGAGAGAACCAUGUGAAUGAGAAGCAUGCAUCUACAAGCCAGGGAGAGAGGCCUGGAGUAGAUCCUUCCCUCAGAGCCAAGCUUACAAACAUCUUGAUUUCAGACUUCUAGCCUCCAGAACUAUGGGACAAUACAUUGCCUUUCCAGAAGCCACCCAGGUUUUGGUACUUUGCAAUGGCAGCCCCAGAAAACUAAUGCAUACCAGAAGACUUGUUUUCAUACAUUAUUAGCCAGAACUGUGCCCCUGGCUUCCCUGACUACAAGGGAGGCCAGGCAAGUAUAUAUUUAACUGAACAUAUUUCAAUCAGAGCAUUAGGAUUCUGGUAGCAAAGAAAAAAAGUGGGGGAAGGGCGUAAAUAAUCAAGAGCAUUUUCCACCAGGGAGAAAACGCUUGCACUUAAUGAGUGGCCACAGGAUGGGUAGCUCUCCCUCCAACACUAAUCAGAUUUGAAGUAACAGCAUGUUGGGGAUAAAGUUAGGCAGUAGAAAGAGUGCAAGGGGUUUGGGGACUAGCACUCACUUUGCCGCAACUUCCUACGUGGUUUCACACAAGUUGCUUUAACCUCCAAGCCUCAGCUUUUUUAAUCUGAUAAAUGGGAUUAAUAAUCUAUGCUCUUAGCAUUUUAAUAGAGCUUUUUUUUUUUUUUUUUUUUUUUUUUCCAGACGGAGUCUCACUCUGUCACCAGGCUGGAGUGCAGUGGCACGAUCUCGGCUCACUGCAACCUCCACCUCCUGGAUUCAAGCAGUUCUCCUGCCUCAGCCUCCCGAGUAGCUGAGACUACAGGCACGCAUCACCAUACCCAGCUAAUUUUUGUAUUUUUAGUAGAGACGGGGUUUCAUCAUGUUAGCCACGACAGUCUCGAUCUCUUGACCUCGUAAUCCACCUGCCUUGGCCUCUCAAAGUGCUGGGAUUACAGAUGUGAGCCACCGUGCCCGGCCAAUUUUUAUUAUUUUUGGUUUUUUUUUUUUUUUUUUUUUUUUUUUUUGAGAUGGAGUCUCACUCUGUUGCCCAGGCUGGAGUGCAGUGGCACAGUCUUGGCUCACUGCAACCUCCGCCUCCCAGGUUCAAGUGAUUCUCCUGCCUCAGCCUCAUGAGUAGCUGGGACUAUAUGUGCCUGCCACCACGCCCAGCUAAUUUUUGUAUUUUUAGUAGAGAUGGGGUUUCACCAUAUUGGCCAGGCUGGUCUCAAACUCCUGACGUUGUGAUCCUCCCACCUUGGCUUCCAAAAGUGCUGGGAUUACAGGAGGGCAGUUUUUAAAAGGGUUUAUCAUUCUAGUGUUGUCUAUCUACACUGCCCUCUGAGAUCUGAUGGGGUAAAGCAAAGGAUACCAACUAAGCUUGCAGGCUUUGGAGUCACCUCACCUGUUCCUAUCACUUAGAUGUUGUGUGGUCCAGGAUCAGUUACUUAACAUCUCUGUGCCACAGUUUUCUUAUAUGUGUAUAAUAGGUAUAUGAUUAGUAGCUAAAUGAGACAGUUGUGAGCAUGAAAUAAUAUAUGUAAAGCAUUCAGAACAGUGCCUGGCACAUAGCAAACUUUAUAUAUGUUAGCUGUUAUUAUCAGGCCUAUCCAAUUUAUAAGUGAUAUGGAAUCGAGAAGGAUAGCAAAUGUUUUAGACCAUAAAAUCAAGAAUCUAAAAAAGAUUUUGACAGAAAGGAAAUGAGCCAAAUAUAAAAAGAUGAAGUUUAAUAAGUACACAUAAAGGUCCUGUCUUGGGGUAAAAUAGCAAGAAUGAGGGAGGCCUAUAGGUUUUUAGUUUAUUAUAAAUUUAAUAUAAGUUAACCAUGAGAUGCACUUACAAAACAAAAUUAGAUUUAGGUUGCCUUGAUAGAAACACAGUAUUGGAAACAAAGGAAAAUAGAACCCAACUCUGUCUCUGCACUGGUUGGACCACACUUGAAAUAAUAGAUUUCCUUCUAGUAUUCCUCACAGCAGCCCCUGAAAAUUGAUAAUUGCCUUCACGUUCUUUAAGGGCUGGUAUAUGAAAAAGAAAAGAGAUGUAUUUUGGGGAUGCUACAGAAGACAGAACAUCCCCAAUAUGAAUAAAGUAGAGGUCUGCUGGACUACAGCUCAGUCUUAGAUGACUAUGAGCCACCUGGAAAUGGAAUGGCCUCCUUCAGGUGGGUUGCAUGGGGGCCCCUGCUCACCUAAAUGCUUAAGCCAUAGCUGGUGGGAUAAUUCGUGGUGAAGGAUGUUGCCAAGCAGACCAACAAGUAGGCAUCCCUACUGCUUUGAGGAAGGGGUAGGUACUCCCACAGAAGUCACAUGUUGGUUGCCCAUUGGCCAAAUUUGGUCUGCUAUUGUGUAGUUUUUGUUCUAUGUGAAAUAUUUUUUUUUUCUUGUAUAUCUGGAUUCCUUGUCAAAAUUUAAAAAUCAGGAGAUUUCACACAAAAAAAAUUCUUUUUCUUUUUUUUUGCUUUCUUUGAAAGAUAAGAUGAUCUAGCAGCACAUGGUGGAUCUGUAUUGUCACAGAUGGCUGGAGUUGAGCAGUAGCCAUCACCUUUAAAUGGAAUGUGCGUCCUCCAAUUAUCCAACAUCCUCACCUGGCCCACCUUACUCAUUGAGGUUACCUGUCUGGUCCAUAAGCAUUUGAGUUUGUGAUUCACAUGCCGGUCUCUAGGGGCUUCCCUUACCCUGAGGGUCUAGACAUUUCCUUAGUUUUGUCCUGCAAACAUUAGGAGAAAUUAGUUAAAUCUGUGGAAGUGUGGGUAAAAUUCAGAUACAUGUAGAGACUGGGGAUGUGUUACAGAAUAACUGCAAGUUUUAGAAAACACUGACAUAGCAAAUGUUUAAAGCUAAGUCUACAUUAAGGAGCAAAAAACAUUAAAAAAUUUUAUUUGAAUUUUGGUUGCAAUCUACAUGUUCUAAAUAUAUAUGGUUCUUGCUGAUAUCUCCCUAAUCUUUGAACCCGUUCCAUUCUUCAUAAGUCAUCAUGGAUCCUUGCAUUGUAUUUAUUGAUGGAUGGAUGGACAAAUGGAUAGAAAUCAUGCAGGAAGGAUGGAGAACAUAGAGAAAAAUGUAACCAAAUGAGUACUAUUGUUUCUUUCUGUGACAUAUGAUCAUGUAAUAAGUGUGUAUUAAGUAUUCUGUGUCAAGCAUGGUGCCAGGUUUUAGGGGAUGCAAAAAAGGAGUAAAAAACACAGACAUGUUCUGAGGACCUUGUUACUUUUGCCCUUAUUGUUAGUUUCAGCUUAAAAGUUAGGACUCUAAAAUUUGAAAUCCAGGCUCAUUGGGUUCAAAUCCAGGCUGUACUCCUUCUGUGCUCUGUAAUUUUGAGCAAUUUACUUAACCGCUUAAUAAAAUAAGGAUGAUGCCAAUAAUAUCUAUUUCCUGAUGUUGUUUGGAGGAUUAAAUGAGAGAAUCAUGUAAGAGCAUUUAGUACAGCACUCAGCACUUAGUGAGCAUUCAAUAAAUUAUUCUAAACUAGCUUCCUUCAAUACCUGCAGAAGGAACAUCAAAAUGAGAAAAGAAGGUUCAUUUGUGUGGACACACAGACACACACACACACACACACACACCCUCACUCAAAACUGGUCUUACUUUCACACUUCUUUUCCCUUUCCUCCUUCUCCCCUUUAUCUGCUGCCUCCUCCACCUCUUUUCUCUAUGACUUCAAAGUUAAUUUUUUUAACAAUUUAUCAUCAACUUUUUAAACAUAUAGCAAUGUUGAAAAUUUUUUCCAGUAAAUAACCAUAAAUAGGUGAGAUUCUGUGCUCUAGGGGCAUUGAUUCACACUAAGCAAAGUUACAAGGAGCUAGAAUAACAAUGUAUAUCUACUAUAUUUCUUUCUCCCUUAUCCUCUGGUAUUUGACUUCUGUCUUUUAUUUAAUACUUUUUUUUUGUAUUGUAGUUCCUGUAUUUUAUUGUAUUUGUUCAUACUUCCUCUCUGGAAUAAAAGAAAUAAGAAACAAGUAUGUAAAUAAAUAAAAAUAGAUACUAUGUGUUUACAAAGGGAAAUCUCAUAUAAGUCAGUUCAUUCAAAA